AUUGAACGCUGGCGGCAGGCUUAACACAUGCAAGUCGAGCGAGCGGCGGACGGGUGAGUAAUGUCUGGGAAACUGCCUGAUGGAGGGGGAUAACUACUGGAAACGGUAGCUAAUACCGCAUACCAUCAGAUGUGCCCAGAUGGGAUUAGCUAGUUGGUGGGGUAAUGGCUCACCUAGCCGACGAUCCCUAGCUGGUCUGAGAGGAUGACCAGCCACACUGGAACUGAGACACGGUCCAGACUCCUACGGGAGGCAGCAGUGGGGAAUAUGGCACAAUGGGCGCAAGCCUGACGCAGCCAUGCCGCGUGAGUGAAGAAGGCCUUCGGGUUGUAAAGCACUUUCAGUGGGGAGGCGUUACCUGCAGAAGAAGCACCGGCUAACUCCGUGCCAGCCGCCGCGGUAAUAC
rnacentral:rRNA from 1 species